AAAGCAUAUGGUGGAUGCCUUGGCAUAAUGUGCCGAAGAAGGACGUAAUAAGCCGCGAUAGUCGUCGGUGAGGAGCUAAUAUCCUUUGACCCGGCGGUGUCCGAAUGGGGUAACCCCGGUUCGUGUAAACGGACUGGACCGAGAGAUUUAUCUUUCGGUCGGUAACCCGGAGAACUGAAACAUCUAAGUACCCGGAGGAAAAGAAAUCGAAUGAGAUUUCCUUAGUAGCGGUGAGCGAAAAGGAAAUAGCCUAAACCCAUAUUUAUAUGGGUGUUGCAGGACCAGAUAUAUGAUGUUGUUUCGAUAGAAGAACACCGUGGAAUAGGUGGCCAUAGAGAGUGACAGCCUCGUAAUCGAAAUUGAAGCAACAUUAAUUUGGCACCUAAGUACGUUGGGAGACGGCAAACUCCCUGCGGAAUCCGCCCCGACCACGGGGCAAGGCUAAAUACACAUUAUGACCGAUAGUGAACGAGUACCGUGAGGGAAAGGUGAAAAGAUGGGUGAGACACCCAGUGAAAUAGUACCUGAAACCGUAUGCUAACAAACAGACAGAGCUUCGAUUUAUCGGAGUAAUGUCGUGCCUAUUGAAGAAUGACCCGUCGAGUUUGCAUGUACUGCUAGUCUAAGUGAUAUCGUCACGGAGGCGUAGUGAAAGCGAGGAUGAAUAGUCCGUUUAGCAGUGCGUCCAAGACCCGAAACCGGUGUGAGCUAACCAUGAGCAGGGUGAACUGUGAGUAAAAUCACAGGAAGGCCCGAACCAGUAACUGCUGCAAAAGUUUUGGAUGACUUGUGGUUAGGGGUAAUAUGCCAAUCGAACCCGGAGAUAGCUGGUUCUCCCCGAAAUAUAUUUAGGUAUAGCCUUGAGUAAUUGCAUGCGUGGGGGUAGAGCACUGAAAAGGUAUAGUGAAGCAAUUCAUUGUACUUUAUCAAACUCCGAAUACCAUGUAUGUUUAUCUCAGGAGUCAGUCCUUGGGAGCUAAGUUCCAGGGGCAAAAGGGAAACAACCCAGAUCGUCAAUUAAGGUCUCAAAAUCAUAGCUAAGUGGCUCAAGGAAGUCAUAAUCCAUAUACAGCUAGGAGGUCGGCUCAGAAGCAGCCAUCCUUGAAAGAAAGCGUAACAGCUCACUAGUCUCGGAUUGUGGCGCCGAAGAUCCAACGAGGCUCAAGCUAUGUACCGAAAUUACGGAUUGUCACACAUUUAUGUGUGAUUCUGGUAGGGGAGCGUUCUAACAGCAGUGAAGUCGUUUUGUAAGAAACGGUGGAGCGGUUAGAAGUGAGAAUGGCGGGAUGAGUAGCGAGAUGGAGGGGAGAAUCCUCCACACCGUAUGUUCCAGGUUUCCCACGCAACGUUCGUCGGCGUGGGGUUAGGCGGCCCUAAGGUGAGGCUGGUGUAAUGCCGGCGUAGCCGAUGGAUUACCGGUUGAUAUUCCGGUUCUCUAGGGCGUUCGUUAUCAGCUUGGGGAGGGACGGUUUAGGAAGAGCGGGGCGCAUUACAUGAAUUUGCGUCCAAUCGCUGAGGCAGUUGGCUAUAGGAAAAUCCGUAGCCGGCGUUACAACCCGAGGUGUUAUGGGGAAUGUGGACCUUGUGUCCGCGUGACUCCGCAACCUUUCUGAAUCCAAGAAAAUCUUCAUGAGCGAGAAUGUUUUAGAUCCGUACCGCAAACCGACACAGGUGAACUGGUAGAGUAUACCAAGGUGAGCGAGAGAACCUUCCUUAAGGAACUCGGCAAAUUAGCUAGGCGUAACUUAGGGAGAUGCCUAACCUGUUUUUUUGGUACUUGUAUCAAAAAAAUGGGUCGCAGAUAAAGACUAUGAGGUGACUGUUUAACAAAAACACAGGUCUGUGCGAAGACGUAAGUCAACGUAUACGGGCUGAGGCCUGCCCAGUGCCAGAAGGUUAACUGAGAGGGUAACCCCGACUUGUUCGGGAUAGCCUUUGAUUGAAGCCCUGGUGAACGGCAGCAGUAACUAUAACUGUUCUAUGGUUAAGGAUAUACAAAUCGUUGCCAUAGUGAGGUAGUCAA
rnacentral:rRNA from 1 species